GCUAUGCUCCACGCUGGAAUACUCCACUGGAUAUCCCCCGGGUUGUUGGGCUGCCUGUUGAUCACUCCCUGGCUUUGGACGUUUGCUGCUCAGAUCAAUAUCGACAUAGGUCAGCUAAAGUGAUGAAACUGCUGAAAUUGGAAAACUACUUGAGAGUGCGUAUGGAGAGCCACAUCCACAGGAUCUACACAUUGAAUACUUUUCCUCCUACUUGGAAAAGAAAUUGUUAGCAGACGAGCUGAAAUCAUUGCUAAACUAAACGAGGUGGAUGGCAUACAAGUACCUGUAUGGGUUAGCCUCGAGGCGAAAUGGCAAGAACUGUUGUUUAGAAAAGCAAAGUUUUUGAAUUUACCAACUGAGACAGAUCGAGCGCCACAGAGAGGAGAGGCUUAAUGAAGUUAUUCGAAAGCCGCUGCUAGCUCUAUACUUGCUGACCCCCACAACCCACCACAUAUCAUUGUCAGCCGUGCUUGAAGUAUAAUAAAGAAGUUGUCAAACACAGGUUGAGUACUCCCGAGAUAAUCAGCAAUGAGCACUUGGAUUAUUUCUAUCUUAUGAUAAAACAACGUAUUUCACCGGAAGUCACACUACCCUCAAGCUUCAUUCUUGCACCGCAUAUACCUGGAGAUUGGAGAGUAGUGGAACCCGAGGACACUUGGCCACACACAUUUAUCGGCUAUUUCCCCAAAAAAUCUUUCGAAACAGAGCGUGAGAGAGAGUGGCGACUGAACCAUGAAGUUCGAUUAGCUUUCAAGAAAACAUUAGGAGGUCUACUCAGCCAGAAGAAUCAUGCAGGGGAUACCUGACCCAGAAAAUUUUUUAGCAUUUUGUUCACACGUGCUUGCAAGUAUACAAAUUAAUUUUGUAGUUUGAAGAAUAUUCCAGCGAGUAGUUCAAGUACAUCUCAGCACUAACUGUAUAAAGUACAAAACACUAAUAAUAUUAUAUAGAGCUAUAAUUAUUUUAGCACUCGAUCUAAUUUUUAGAAUUAAAUGUGUAUAGAAAUGUCACAA